GACAGAGGGGGCAAGCGUUGCUCGGAAUCACUGGGCGUAAAGGGCGCGUAGGCGGCCCGCUAAGUCGAACGUGAAAUCCCCGAGCUCAACUCGGGAACUGCGUCCGAUACUGGCGGGCUUGAAUCCGGGAGAGGGAUGCGGAAUUCCAGGUGUAGCGGUGAAAUGCGUAGAUAUCUGGAGGAAUACCGGUGGCGAAGGCGGCAUCCUGGACCGGCAUUGACGCUGAUGAGCGAAAGCUAGGGGAGCAAACGGG
rnacentral:rRNA from 1 species